rnacentral:tmRNA from 1 species
GGGACUGAAAGGAUUUCUACAUACUUUUAAUAAUAUUAGUUAAUAUUUAACUGUUGUAAUUUGUGACUUAAAAUAUUUUUUUAAGUUUAAUAAUACCAUUUUAAUUGCAAAACAUAAUAUUAUAUCUUUUUCUAGAAGUUUAGCAAUAGCAUAGACAUUUAGUAUUUUAAGUUGUGCUUUUUUAUUUCAAUUUAACAAUUUAGUAUAAUAAUGCACUAAUUAUAAAAUUAAAUUUAUAUUUUUUUGAUUUUAGUUAGUAAAGUAAUAAUUUAUUGAUUUAAAAUUUCAGUUGAAUAUUUAGUAAUUAAUUGUUCUAUUAGUAUGGACGUGGGUUCAAAUCCCACCAGUUCCA